UAUUACUUAAAAAAAAAAAAAAAAAAAAAAAAACGAUAGAAUUCCGAAUAUAAGUAUGGGUGUGACACAGUCAUUAGAUAAUUAAGCGUGGACCUCGGGAAAAAGCCCACGUUUUAAGAUGAACAGAGAUCAAGAAAUCGAAGCUCCACUCAUCCAGAAGAAUCAGACAUACCAACCUCAAGCCUCCGAUUCAGGCUUAACGGAGGAUGGUUCCGGCGUUGAGAACUCUCCAAUCGAGCAGGUAGCUCUCACGGUUCCAGUCACCGACGAACCCUCUCUUCCGAGUUUCACCUUCAGGACGUGGAUUCUCGGAACACUAGCAUGCGUCCUUCUCUCCUUCCUCAACCAGUUCUUCUGGUAUCGGAGGGAGCCUUUGUCAAUCACGUCGAUCUCGGCUCAGAUCGCUGUGGUCCCGCUCGGCCACUUGAUGGCCUCGACGAUUACAGACCGAGUGUUCUUCAGGGGGCGAUGGUGGGAGUUCACGCUGAAUCCCGGCCCGUUCAACGUGAAGGAGCACGUGCUGAUCACGAUCUUCGCCAACUCCGGGGCGGGUAACGUGUACGCGAUUCACCUCGUUAGCGCCGUCAAGAUAUUCUACAAAAAGAAUAUGACGUUCCUGGUGGCGUUUCUCGUCGUUAUAACGACACAGGUGCUGGGGUUCGGGUGGGCCGGGCUGUUCCGGCGUUACUUGGUGGAGCCCGCUGCCAUGUGGUGGCCCCAAAAUCUCGUGCAAGUCUCGCUGUUCAGGGCGUUACACGAGAAAGAGAAGAGGCCCAAGGAUGGGUUAACACGGAAUCAAUUCUUCCUCAUUGCCUUCUUCUGCUCCUUUGCUUACUAUGUAUUUCCAGGCUACCUAUUCCCAAUGUUAACGUCAGUUUCCUGGAUUUGUUGGGUUUUCCCUACUUCCAUCCUUGCCCAACAGCUAGGCUCAGGACUUCACGGUCUUGGCAUUGGUGCUUUAGGUUUUGAUUGGUCCAGUAUAUCCUCUUACCUUGAAAGCCCACUUGCCAGUCCAUGGUUUGCUACUGCCAACAUUGCUGCUGGUUUUGUGCUCGUCACGUAUGUUAUUACCCCCACAGCUUAUUGGCUUAAUAUCUAUAAAGCCAAGACGUUUCCCAUAUUCUCAGAUGGGCUUUUCACUUCUAGUGGCCAAAGCUACAAUAUCUCAGCUAUAAUAGAUGCCAACUUUCACCUUGACAUUGAUGCAUAUGAGCAUAAAGGCCGUCUCUAUCUCAGCGUCUUCUUUGCCAUAUACUAUGGUAUCAAUUUUGCCUGCCUUGCUGCCACUGUUGUUCAUGUGUUCCUCUUCCAAGGAAGGGAAAUGUGGCAGCUAAGCAAGUCUGCCAUCCAAGAGAAGAAGAUGGAUGUGCACACAAAGCUCAUGAGAAAAUAUAAGCAAGUUCCUCAAUGGUGGUUCAUGUGCAUCCUUGUGAUCAACAUUCUGGCAACCAUAUUUACUUGCCAGUACUACAACGAUCAACUUCAGUUGCCAUGGUGGGGCGUCUUGCUAGCAUGCUGUAUUGCCUUAUUUUUCACUCUUCCUGUUGGAGUCAUCAAGGCCACAACAAAUCAGAUGCUGACCUUGAAUGUGAUCACAGAGUAUAUUAUCGGGUAUCUAUACCCAGGAUAUCCUGUUGCCAACAUAUGCUUCAAAGUUUAUGGCAACAUAAGUGUGAAACAGGGAAUCACCUUUCUGGAAGACUUCAAGCUUGGUCAUUACAUGAAGAUUCCUCCAAGAUUCAUGUUUGUGGUGCAGGUUGUAGGUACCGUAGUAGCAGCAUUGGUGCAUUUAGGAACAGCAUGGUGGCUUAUGGAUAGCAUUCCAAACAUAUGUGACAGGGAAUUGCUGCCAGCCAGCAGCCCAUGGACUUGCCCAGGCGAUCAUGUAUUCUAUGAUGCUUCUGUUAUAUGGGGCCUGAUUGGAACUCGAAGAAUAUUUGGAGACCUUGGGCACUACUCUGCCAUCAACUGGUUUUUUCUGGCCGGGGCUAUAGCUCCUGUCCUAGUUUGGCUCGCACACAAGGCCUUCCCUGACAGACAGUGGAUUAGACUCAUCACUAUGCCUGUGCUCUUAGGGGCAACGGUGAACAUGCCCCCUGCCACUGCUGUCAAUUACACCAGCUGGAUUCUUAUUGGUUUCUUGUCGGGCUUUAUUGCUUACAGAUACUACCGUGAGUGGUGGAGCCGCCACAACUACGUGCUAUCUGGGGCACUUGAUGCUGGAUUAGCCUUCAUGGGAGUAUUAUUAUACUUUUGUUUUGGGAUGGAACGUAUUGGUCUCAACUGGUGGGGCAGUGACUCAGAUGGAUGUCCACUGGCUUCUUGUCCAACAGUUGGAGGGGUCAUAGUGGAUGGCUGCCCACUUCUAUGAGUGUAUUUGUUCCUGUAUUAAUAGUACCUUAACCAAAAGAAGAAGCAGCAGCAGCAGCAGCAGAAUAGGAAUUGUAUUUAUCUUUGCCAUUAGUGCAGAAAUGUGAUUGGCCUUCAGAAGAUACCCUUGCUUAUUUUGCUCGUCACAUGCAGACAUGUUAAGGCAUAAAAGAGAGAAUUGAUGUUUGGAUCUGGUUAUUGCAGCCAUUACUGAGGUGUCAGAAGUUAUAAUAAGGGAUGGAAAUCCUCAUGGAGUUGAUUGUAUCCUUUAUUUUUGGUCAGGGGAUUAUCUCCACCCAUGGGUUUGUUUAUUUUACCCUUUUGGUUUUGUCAUGCUACUGGUUUUUGCGUGGGGCAAAUUCUGAUUAUGUUAUCUAGUCUAAUGGCAAUUUUGGGUUGAUAGGUGUUGUUAUUGUCUACUAUGUAAUUCUUGUUGAAGUCUAGAGAAUAUCUUCGAAACAUCUUUUUCAACUUAGCUGUGGAAUAAUUACACAAAUUGCCUAGACAGAUAGGAUGAAUGGGUAGGAAAACUUGGGGACACAUGGGAAGGUUCUUGUCCUGUAAAAGGUGGGAAAUUUUGAUGCUGGUGUAGGAGAAGUACUUUCUGUGUGAGGCACUGUGGCUUGUUUGUGUCUGCUCAAGGGGUCUGUUAGAGGAGAAUCAUGAAUGACGCUAGUUUUCUGGACCGGAAACUAUUAAGCUUUUAGUUGUUUGGGCCUAAUUUUAAAUAGUGGUCCUAGAAUAGACUCGGGCCUGCUCAAGAGUUGGUCUGUGGGUGGGCAUGGACUGCCUCAACUCACAAAUGCUUCUAGCUCAGUUUUUCCAAUAUAUUUGUAGUUGUUACUGCCGCCAAGUCCUUCAAUUUUCUCAAAUUUUCUGCAUUUGCAUGGUGUCUGUUAUCAAGCUGUUGUCAGUAACAUCUCCUCUAUUUUUUAGAUUUUCUUUUUCUUUUUUUCUUACUUUUUUUCUCUUCUCAAAUUGACAACACGCAUUGUGCAAUAAUAUUUGUAGCCACAAGCAACCUGCCUCCCCUCCAAUUCAUCCCUUUUUGUUCAUUCUCCUUUCUUGUUUUUAUCAGGAUUCAGAUUGCUUGUUCCUUGACAUCCAGAUAUUCAGCGUGACAUAGAAACUGAUCUGGAGAAUUUGCUGCUACAAUAGUGAACUCUAUGGCAUUGCAUUGGAAUCAAGAAGUGUGUUGCUAAAGAAAGCAGAGGUCCCUCUGAAGCUUUAUAUUUUUCAGUCCUAAAAGAGGCGAUUCAUUGGACAAGUUUUUUGAGACAAUUAAAACAAACGUCAUCAGGCAUUCAUGCAAGUGACAAAGGAUCCGUGUCCCAGCUAUGAUAAAGAUCCUUGCAAGCCCUUAAUGAUCAGAAUUACAGUAUGAACUUCUUUCGUCAACUCUUGGCUAAUUUUUGAAAUUUCCCAUUACAGACACCUCCAAUUACACUGUUUUGUUCUCUUUUUCUUUUCUCCUUUGCACACUUGUGGGGUCCUUGCUGAUUUGGUUUUUGCCAAUAGAAAAACGAAAGCAUAACAGAUACUGUUUCUGAUUGAUGUAAUUUAUAUUGGUGAUGUUAUCUUGGGACAUAAAAAUGGGGGAGUGCAUACACUUUUGGAGAAGAAGAUUCCUCAUCUUCAUAUAGGCAUCAAAGUUAGAAACCAAAAAGCUUUUAGAUGUAUACAGCCAACCAUCCGUGAUUAAACAAAGACUCUUCUCCACCCACAGGAUGGGUGCAGGACAAAAUCAAAAGGCUAAAGCUAUCAGAUACUACGUGGAUCAAUUAAACUAUAUAUGUAUGUUAUAGAACAUUUCACUUCCAUGGUGAAAAUAUAUGAACAGGUCUUGGCUGGCUUGAAUUCUUCUAUGUUA